GAGCGUUACAACUACUCACCUAAUAGAGUAGCCGCAACAUCUCUCCCCCUUUCCUCUUCCUUCUACCCCCUUUCCCCUUCUGCAACCGUAAUGGCCAUCCGGACAGAUGACCUAAAAGAGCACCGGCAACUGCCACACCGAUCUGGAUGGAUGAGAAGGUAUGGCUUACCGAUCUGGAUGGAUAAGAAGAAUUUGCAGGAACAUGCACGAAUUGAAAUGCUUUCGGUCUUUGCUGAAGGAUGAUAGUAGGAGUGAUGGUGGAAACGAUGAGCGGAUACAUACAUAUAAACUAUACUUUCUCAUAAUUUAAUUUGCAUGUUGUUUGUGAGCCAAUUAAGAUGAAGCAACGUCGAAUUUUAUUUCGAUUGUGAUUUAAACAUAUAAAUAAAGGAGAAAA